GCCAGGGCGCGUCCACAUGCCAGGCCGCGCCCACUUGCCAGGACGCGUCCACAUGCCAGGCCGCGCCCACUUGCCAGGCCGCGACCACAUGUCAUGCCGCUCCCACAUGUCUGGCUACGCCCAUAUCCCAGGCCGCGGUCACAUAUCAGGCCGCGCCCACAUGUCUGGCUGCGCCCACAUCCCAGGCCGCGUCCACAUGAUGUCAGGCCGCGCCCACAUGCCAGGCCGUGGCCAUAUGCCAGGUCGCGUCCACAUGAUGUCAGGCCGCGCCCACAUGCCAAGCCGCGUCCACAUAUCAGGCCGUGUCCACAUAUCUGACAGCAACCACAUAUCUGACCGUACCCAGAAGGACCUCCAUGAGGGCGCGCCCUGAUUGGAGGGAGAAGACACAUCUCAGCUUUAUAAGAAAAUGAUUUAUAUGAAGACCGACUUCAUGGGCCAGGCCCACAAAAGAAGACUUGGUUGGACCAGAAGAAUCAAGAUCAACCCGAUUUAGAAGUGACCUUGUAGAAAGAUAGGGCGCGCCCUAUCUUUGGGCGCGCCAUCUUGCCGAAGACAGUUCAGGUAGCAAUGGUUCAGAAGGACAGAAGGAGGUGCUUUUGUUUAGGGGGACGCCCUUAAGCAUAAGUAAAUCCAACUGUUGAAUUGUAGAAGGCCCUACCUUGUAGUCUGAGGGGUUGUCCUCCUUGGUAAAAGAUGAAGAUAUGGACUUACGCACUGAAGAUUGGGCUCGACAAUAUGUAGGCACGCCCACAUAUCUGACCACGUCCGGAAGAAUCUCUAAUAAGGGCGCGCUUUAGGUGGAGAACUAUUUUGGGCCGACAUAUUCAAGAUUGGGCUGGAUCACAUGAUAGGCCGCGCCCACUUGCUAGGGCGCGUCCACAUGCUAGGCCGCGCCCACUUGCCAGGACGCGUCCACAUGCCAGGCCGCGCCCACUUGUCAGGCCGCGACCACAUGUCAUGCCGCUCCCAAAUGAUGUCUGGCUACGCCCACAUGCCAGGCCGCGUCCACAUGAUGUCAGGCCGCGCCCACAUGUCAGGCCGUGGCCACAUGCCAGGCCGCGUCCACAUGAUGUCAGGCCGCGCCCACAUGUCAGGCCGUGGCCACAUGCCAGGCCGCGUCCACAUGAUGUCAGGCCGCGCCCACAUGUCAGGCCGUGGCCACAUGCCAGGCCGCGUCCACAUGAUGUCAGGCCGCGCCCACAUGCCAAGCCGCGUCCACAUGCCAGGCCGCGUCCACAUAUCAGGCCGUGUCCACAUAUCUGACAGCAACUACAUAUCUGACCGUACCCAGAAGGACCUCCAUGAGGGCGCGCCCUGAUUGGAGGGAGAAGACACAUCUCAGCUUUAUAAGAAAAUGAUUUAUAUGAAGACCGACUUCAUGGGCCAGGCCCACAAAAGAAGACUUGGUUGGACCAGAAGAAUCAAGAUCAACCCGAUUUAGAAGUGACCCUGUAGAAAGAUAGGGCGCGCCCUAUCUUUGGGCGCGCCAUCUUGCCGAAGACAGUUCAGUUAGCAAUGGUUCAGAAGGACAGAAGGAGAUGCUUUUGUUUAGGGGGACGCCCUUAAGCAUAAGUAAAUCCAACUGUUGAAUUGUAGAAGGCCCUACCUUGUAGUCUGAGGGGUUGUCCUCCUUGGGAGGUGGAGGUAGAAUAGAAGACGCGCCCUGAAAGGCUCUACCUCUGUAGUCUGGCGGGUUGUCCCUGUCGGGGAGUGGAGUAGUGUCCAUACAUUUGGGGUAAGCCUUGGGUGCUCGAGAGUCUGCAAGGCCCAAGGCUAGGCCUCAUCGUAUUGGGCCCCUUUCGGGAGGAAGAUUCUAGAAGGGGAGGCCCAGUCCACAUGGGUCUCUUAGGAGAAAGAACUACGUGCCUGCUUGAUCCUCUAUAAAUAGGGGUACGUAGGCAGAUUGUAGGCAUCGACCAUUCUUGAGAGCUAUUCCAGUUAGCAAUCUUGAACCCUUUGCUUACAAUUGCAGCCGCCUCCAUAACAAACAACCAACCACUCCCUACAUUCUCGCCAACAAGAAUCUUGAUCCACGCCGCGAACCUCAUCUUUGUUAACCUACCAGUUUUCUCCGUUAACAAUA
rnacentral:lncRNA from 1 species